AACAGGCUUAUCUCCCCCAAGAGUUCACAUCGACGGGGAGGUUUGGCACCUCGAUGUCGGCUCAUCGCAUCCUGGGGCUGUAGUCGGUCCCAAGGGUUGGGCUGUUCGCCCAUUAAAGCGGUACGCGAGCUGGGUUCAGAACGUCGUGAGACAGUUCGGUCCCUAUCCGUCGUGGGCGUAGGAAAUUUGAGAGGAGCUGUCCUUAGUACGAGAGGACCGGGAUGGACAUACCUCUGGUGUACCAGUUGUCGUGCCAACGGCAUAGCUGGGUAGCUAUGUAUGGACGGGAUAAGUGCUGAAAGCAUCUAAGCAUGAAGCCCCCCUCAAGAUGAGAUUUCCCAACUUCGGUUAUAAGAUCCCUCGAAGAUGACGAGGUUAAUAGGUUCGAGGUGGAAGCGUGGUGACACGUGGAGCUGACGAAUACUAAUCGAUCGAAGACUUAAUCAAUAUU
rnacentral:rRNA from 1 species